rnacentral:tRNA from 1 species
GGGCAAGUAGCUCAACGGUGGAGCAUUCGGUUUACAUCCGACAGGUUACAGGUUCGAGUCCUGUCUUGCCCACCA